UGAUCCUUGCUCWGGAUGAACGCUGGCGGUAUGCUUAACACAUGCAAGUCGAMCGGAUKVCUCCGGYACUUAGUGGCGGACGGGUGAGUAACGCGUGAGAAUCUAGCUUUGGGUUCGGGACAACCACGGGAAACGGUGGCUAAUACCGGAUGUGCCGAGAGGUAAAAGAUUAAUUGCCCGAAGAAGAGCUCGCGUCUGAUUAGCUAGUUGGUGUGGUAAGAGCGCACCAAGGCGACGAUCAGUAGCUGGUCUGAGAGGAUGACCAGCCACACUGGGACUGAGACACGGCCCAGACUCCUACGGGAGGCAGCAGUGGGGAAUUUUCCGCAAUGGGCGAAAGCCUGACGGAGCAAUACCGCGUGAGGGAGGAAGGCUCUUGGGUUGUAAACCUCUUUUCUUAGGGAAGAAGAACUGACGGUACCUAAGGAAUAAGCAUCGGCUAACUCCGUGCCAGCAGCCGCGGUAAUACGGAGGAUGCAAGCGUUAUCCGGAAUGAUUGGGCGUAAAGCGUCCGCAGGUGGCAAUGAAAGUCUGCUGUCAAAGAGUCUGGCUUAACCAGAUAAAGGCAGUGGAAACUACAUAGCUAGAGUGAGGUAGGGGCAGAGGGAAUUCCUGGUGUAGCGGUGAAAUGCGUAGAGAUCAGGAAGAACACCGGUGGCGAAGGCGCUCUGCUGGACCGCAACUGACACUGAGGGACGAAAGCUAGGGGAGCGAAUGGGAUUAGAUACCCCAGUAGUCCUAGCUGUAAACGAUGGAUACUAGGCGUUGCCCGUAUCGACCCGGGCAGUGUCGUAGCUAACGCGUUAAGUAUCCCGCCUGGGGAGUACGCACGCAAGUGUGAAACUCAAAGGAAUUGACGGGGGCCCGCACAAGCGGUGGAGUAUGUGGUUUAAUUCGAUGCAACGCGAAGAACCUUACCAGGACUUGACAUGUCCGGAACCCUCUUGAAAGGGAGGGGUGCCUUCGGGAACCGGAACACAGGUGGUGCAUGGCUGUCGUCAGCUCGUGUCGUGAGAUGUUGGGUUAAGUCCCGCAACGAGCGCAACCCUCGUACUUAGUUGCCAUCAUUAAGUUGGGAACUCUAAGGAGACUGCCGGUGACAAACCGGAGGAAGGUGGGGAUGACGUCAAGUCAGCAUGCCCCUUACGUCCUGGGCUACACACGUACUACAAUGCUGUGGACAAAGGGCAGCAAGCGUGCGAACGCAAGCAAAUCCCAGAAACCACGGCUCAGUUCAGAUCGCAGGCUGCAACUCGCCUGCGUGAAGUCGGAAUCGCUAGUAAUUGCAGGUCAGCAUACUGCAGUGAAUUCGUUCCCGGGCCUUGUACACACCGCCCGUCACACCAUGGAAGCUGGUCACGCCCGAAGUCGUUACCCUAACCUUUCGAGGAGGGGGAUGCCGAAGGUAGGACUGGUGACUGGGGUGAAGUCGUAACAAGGUAGCCGUACCGGAAGGUGUGGCUGGAUCACCUCCUUUAUAGGGAGACCCAAAUUCAAUUCAAAAUUAUCAAUUCAAAAUUCAAAAUGAAGAAUAAAAGUUUUGGAUUUUGAAAUUUGAACUUUGAACUUUGAAUUGAUUUUAUCCCGAGGUCGGUGGCGAAUGCAAAAGUGAGGCUUUCAAACUAGAAAGGUUCGGUUCAUGGGCUAUUAGCUCAGGUGGUUAGAGCGCACCCCUGAUAAGGGUGAGGUCCCUGGUUCGAGUCCAGGAUGGCCCACCUGAAAGGAAUUCAAAGUUGAAAAUUCAGAAUUCAAAAAUAAAGAUAAAAAUGGUUUCUUAAUUUUGAACUUUGAAUUGAUAAUUUUGAAUUGUUGAUUGGGGGGUAUAGCUCAGUUGGUAGAGCGCCUGCUUUGCAAGCAGGAUGUCAGGAGUUCGAGUCUCCUUACCUCCACCUGAAAAAAGAGGAAAAUGCAGCACCGAGAAGUAACACAGCGGCUGCUGGAUAAAUUCCAGUCAAGAACCUUGAAAAUUGCAUAGAGAAGCGAAUAGAGUUAACAACUAACAGUUAAAAGUUGCCAUUUGAUGAGUACAGCAACAGCGGUGACAUCAAAAAAGACAAUUAACGCUAAGUAAGUGGACUCAAGCAGACAAAAAAGUGGUCAAGCGAAGAAGGGCUAAUGGUGGAUACCUAGGCACACAGAGGCGAAGAAGGACGUGGUGACCGACGAAAAGCUCCGGGGAGCUGGAAGCAAGCGUGAGAUCCGGAGGUGUCCGAAUGGGGCAACCCUUAAGACUGCCUACUGAAUAUAUAGGUAGGUCAGAGCCAACCCAGCGAAUUGAAACAUCUUAGUAGCUGGAGGAAGAGAAAUCAACAGAGAUUCCCCAAGUAGUGGUGAGCGAAAGGGGAAGAGCCUAAACCACAGAGCAUGCUUUGUGGGGUUGUGGGACAGCGAUAUYGAAUCUGGCGGUUAGACGAAGCAGCGAAAAACUGCACCACAGAAGGUGAGAGUCCUGUAGUCGAAAACUUAAAGAUAGUAGCUGUAUCCCGAGUAGCAUGGGACACGGGAAAUCCCAUGUGAAUCAGCGAGGACCACCUCGUAAGGCUAAAUACUACUGUGUGACCGAUAGUGAACCAGUACCGCGAGGGAAAGGUGAAAAGAACCCCAACAAGGGGAGUGAAAUAGAACAUGAAACCAUUAGCCUACAAGCAGUGUACGACGAUGCAUCUCUUCAU
rnacentral:rRNA from 1 species